UACGAAGGGGGCUAGCGUUGUUCGGAUUUACUGGGCGUAAAGCGCACGUAGGCGGAUCGUUAAGUCGGGGGUGAAAUCCUGGAGCUCAAUUCCAGAACUGCCUUCGAUACUGGCGAUCUUGAGUCCGGAAGAGGUGAGUGGAACUCCUAGUGUAGAGGUGGAAUUCGUAGAUAUUAGGAAGAACACCAGUGGCGAAGGCGGCUCACUGGUCCGGUACUGACGCUGAGGUGCGAAAGCGUGGGGAGCGAACAGG
rnacentral:rRNA from 1 species